AGCAUGACAAGGAGAAUAUUGGCGUGCGAGCAAGCACUUUAAGGCGCGUACGAGCGAGAAGGCAUGCGUACGGUAAGAAAGUAAGAGUGCACUAUACGGUUAUCAUUUUACUAUGAGAACAAUGAGAUAUUAUUGUCUCAAAAAUAAAUCACGUAUAUUUUGAUUAAAAGAGUAAAUGGGCUCUGCUCGCGUCAGUCAGUCAGUUAGUCAGUCAGACCAGUGCAUUCAUAAGGUGAAUUUAAAUCUUUUGUCUCUCCGAAAAAAAUAUCGUUGGAACAAACGAUUGAACAGCUGCAGCGACUUCUGCAAGUCACGGCGAACGCACAAUUAAUGGUGGAUGACAAGCGUCAGGUGGUGGUGUCUUUACGGGUAAUUGGUCCCGAUGAGAAUAUGCAGCUGAGCAACAUUAAAAUAGAUUGUUUCGUUAACAUCAGAAGAAAAAUAGACAUUUCACGAAAAAUUACUACAGAGAGAUGAACGACUAUAUGUGGUACAAGAGAAAAGAUAUAGAUAUGUGGAAUCUAAAUGUACUUUUCAGCAAAGAGGAGGUCUCAAAUUAAUUUGAAAUAUUUUAAAAAUAUUUUUAUAAAAUUAAAAAAUGUAUAAAUAAAUA
rnacentral:lncRNA from 13 species